UCCGCAUAAAGUUAUGGAAUCGCAUGGUUCUGUAAUCAAAGGAGCAAUCCGCUUUGAGAUGGGCCCGCGGCGCAUUAGCUAGUUGGUAAGGUAAAGGCUUACCAAGGCGACGAUGCGUAGCCGACCUGAGAGGGUGAUCGGCCACAUUGGAACUGAGACACGGUCCAGACUCCUACGGGAGGCAGCAGUGGGGAAUAUUGCGCAAUGGGGGAAACCCUGACGCAGCAACGCCGCGUGAGUGAUGAAGGCCUUAGGGUUGUAAAGCUCUGUUAUCUGGGACGAUAAUGACGGUACCAGAGGAGGAAGCCACGGCUAACUACGUGCCAGCAGCCGCGGUAAUACGUAGGUGGCGAGCGUUGUCCGGAUUUACUGGGCGUAAAGAGUGCGUAGGCGGAUGUUUAAGUGAGAUGUGAAAUACCCGAGCUCAACUUGGGUGCUGCAUUUCAAACUGGGCAUCUAGAGUGCAGGAGAGGAAAGCGGAAUUCCUAGUGUAGCGGUGAAAUGCGAAU
rnacentral:rRNA from 1 species